rnacentral:SRP_RNA from 1 species
GCUGAGUUGGGUAACGCCAGCUUGUAACCUGAGUGGGAGCAAUAGAGUGAUGGAACAUGGCUAUAGCUUGUUGGGCUGGGCUGGUAGUUGCAAUAUGCUGGCUUGCCCGCUCCAAGUUAUGAGUUGGACCAUGGUACUUGGGCUAAAGCUUGGGUGUCUUGGUUCCUAGACGAGAGGGCACUGCGUGAGGCUGGUUUCACAGAGCAGCGAAUACCUCUGGCUCAUUACAGUGGAGGGAUUACAGGCUGCUGCACUUCGAGCCCACUAAGCCUGGUGAGCCUAGCUUCUGAACCAUCACUUUU